rnacentral:tRNA from 1 species
GUUCUAUCUGACAAUAGAGCAGCGGACUCUUAAUCCGCAGGCUGAAGGUUCGAGUCCUUC